rnacentral:siRNA from 1 species
GGUGGACAAUAAACUGAUGCGGA